rnacentral:rRNA from 1 species
UACGUAGGGUGCGAGCGUUUGUCCGGAAUUAUUGGGCGUAAAGAGCUCGUAGGCGGCCUGUUGCGUCCGCUGUGAAAUCCCGGGGCUUAACCCCGGGCGUGCAGUGGAUACGGGCAGGCUGGAGGCAGGCAGGGGAGAACGGAAUUCCCGGUGUAGCGGUGAAAUGCGCAGAUAUCGGGAGGAACACCGGUGGCGAAGGCGGUUCUCUGGGCCUGUACUGACGCUGAGGAGCGAAAGCGUGGGGAGCGAACAGG